UUUAAUUCGAUGCAAUGCGAAGAACCUUACCUACUCUUGACAUCCACGGAAUUCGGCAGAGAUGCCUUAGUGCCUUCGGGAACCGUGAGACAGGUGCUGCAUGGCUGUCGUCAGCUCGUGUUGUGAAAUGUUGGGUUAAGUCCCGUAACGAGCGCAACCCUUAUCCUUUGUUGCCAGCGAUUCGGUCGGGAACUCAAAGGAGACUGCCGGUGAUAAACCGGAGGAAGGUGGGGAUGACGUCAAGUCAUCAUGGCCCUUACGAGUAGGGCUACACACGUGCUACAAUGGCGCAUACAAAGAGAAGCGACCUCGCGAGAGCAAGCGGACCUCACAAAGUGCGUCGCAGUCCGGAUCGGAGUCUGCAACUCGACUCCGUGAAGUCGGAAUCGCUAGUAAUCGUGGAUCAGAAUGCCA
rnacentral:rRNA from 1 species